UACGCUGGCGGCGGCCUAACACAUGCAAGUCGAGCGGUAGCACAGAAGAGCUUGCUCUUGGGUGACGAGCGGCGGACGGGUGAGUAACGCGUAGAAAUCUGCCUGGUAGUUGGGGAUAGCCCGGAGAAAUCCGGAUUAAUACCGAAUGUGCUCUUAGGAGGAAAGCGGGGGAUCUUCGGACCUCGCGCUACCAGAUGAGUCUGCGUAGGAUUAGCUAGUUGGUGGGGUAAAGGCUCACCAAGGCGACGAUCCUUAGCUGGUCUGAGAGGAUGAUCAGCCACACUGGGACUGAGACACGGCCCAGACUCCUACGGGAGGCAGCAGUGGGGAAUAUUGGACAAUGGGGGCAACCCUGAUCCAGCCCAUGCCGCGUGUG
rnacentral:rRNA from 1 species